GAAGCGUCGUUCGGACCGCCU
rnacentral:snRNA from 1 species